UCCCGGGAGCUUUGGAAUGUCCCCAGAGAGAGAGACUUCACAACCUCCCUGGGCAGCCUGUUCCAGUGCGCUGCCACCCUCAACGUAAGGAAGUUCUUCUUCAUGUUGAGGUGGGACAUGGGUUUUAGUUUAUGGCCAUUGCUCCUCGUCUUAUCGUUGGGCUCCACUGAAAAGCGUCUGGCACCAUCCUCUUGGCACCUGCCUGUGAGAUCUUUAUAUGUAUUGAUGGGAUCCCCUCUCGGUCAUCUCUUCUCUAGGUUAACCACUAGGUUGGUAGUAUAUCAAAAUAAAAAGGUAUCUGCCUCCGUGGAGCUCUCAAUGCCGCACUCCUGCGCACCUCCCUCGGGACAGGGUUUAACUGAACUGUUCCAAAAGAUCACACCUUGCCGAUGGAGCAGUUUUUAACAAAUUAACAUCUCAAUGUGCCGAAGGUUGAGUGGCAAAGUCAAUAAAACAGCAAUUUGUUUCUAUAGAAACUGAACACCUUAGCAGGGAUUGUACCAAGCUCUGAUUUUGAUGGUUUCUCCCCCCCCCCUUCCCCCCCCCCCCCCCCCGGAAUUUGCUGCUUUUGCAGUCUGAUCUUGCUUGUUUUCAGGAAAUCAGAAAUUUGGAAAACUGGCUUGGAAUUUUUUAGCACGUGAGGAAUGCUGGCAAUCACAUGAUAAUGGUACCAAAAAACCUCUAGAACCUAGUUCAGUGAGUUAGAAUUAAUUUCUGACUGCGUAAUCAUGCACCCUGAAAAUCUCGGUUUGUUCCUCCACUUUCAGAUCGUAAGGACCUUUGCAACUCCCCAUCUUCCAUUCCCCCUUCUCCUAAGGUCUUUCUCCAGUACAGCCGAAAGGAGCUAAUCCAAGAAUCAGCUGAUGCAGCUGCUUGCUGCCCAGAGAUUUGGGGAGUUUUUGCGGGUUUUUUUCCAACACGACUAUCAUUAACAUGAGGAAAUGUGGUAAGAAAAGAAAUAUUCAAUUGGUGCAUUCCAGAUUUCUUGUUCUCAGAUGAAGUUUCCCUGUAUGUUCUGUUCUCAAGUGACAGGGAUAUUCAAAUGGCUUCAGGAAUACAAAUAAGUAAUUUAGCUUAUCCUUGGAGGAAAAUCCUAACAGGUUUCUGGAAAUACACAAGGCAUGGAAUGGGACUCUUUGGUAGUGCGACAGUGCAGUAGCUGUGCUUUUAAAAACUAGUAGGUCCAUGAAUACCUUUUUUUUUUCCCCCCUGUCAGGACAGAGAGUUUCUGGAUUACUUAGUUCUGAGUCUGGUUGUACCAAAGUUUGUUAGCUUUGUUCUGCUUUUUCCUUCUCCUUUUUUGUUCUCAACAUCAGUCUUUAUGCUUUCCCCUGAAAACAUGGUGUUUAUUGCAGUGAGAGAGUCUUCUAAGUUGUCUUGACCUCAGUCAUUUUAUCAGAGUCACUUGAAUGUUUUGGUAACCACCUGAAAAGCCUUGCUUCUCAGUUCAAUUUUUUUCCCAGACAAAAAAUAGAGGAUUUCCCUUUGACAGUCAUUCUUCUUUUUCAUUGAAUAGUAGGAAGACGGGUCACAUGAAUUCCUGCAGAGCCCUUGAAAAUGCUGUCAAGAAUUUUUGGUAGGGUUUGGGAAGUUCCAGGUAUUUAUGUUUGGUUUUGUGUUCAAGAUCUAGUUCUCCAAAGCAUUUACAUUUCCAAAUGCUGUAAUUUGUGCUUUGGAAUUCUCUUAGGAGCUGGGCAUAAAGAAGAGAUUUUCAUUACUCACUUCCUUCCACCAUUAAUACACAAGCUUUAAAACUUAAUGGGUUAUGGAAACCUCUUAGAUACAGGAAGAGAGCUGGGAAGGCCCAAAGAGGGCACACAUCUGUUAGGCCUCAGCAGUCUGCUGCUGGCGUUGCCAGGUAAUCCUUUUCUGUAGCUUUAUUUACAUUAUGUCUGAAUCCCAGUUUUAACCAUUGCUUGUGGCUUUGCCAAUGCAAACACUCAGCAUGAGCAAAAAUGAAAAAAAAUUUAAAAUGGAUUCCAUUGGAACUUGGGUUCAGAGCCAGAAUAAAUUUGAGUAGUGCAAAUGUCAGCUUUUGUUCACACUCCGAGUUUGUAUUGUUUGUAUGGCAACUAACCCUAAGCAUAGGUGAGAGGACACAAACCCAAGUGCUCAGCUGACGAUGUUGUUAGUCUAACAGGACUUUGGAACAUGGAAGAAGUUCCAGCACACCAUCAGAAGCGCCCAUACUUCCCUAACAGGGAUGUGAGUUUGCAUCUUGCUGCUUGACUUUUGGAAUACCAGGAAGUGGCAGCUCAUUGAAUGCCUGCCUUGUCUACUGCUGCAGUUCUUGGAAGAUAAUUUGGCAGCUCCCGCAGAGGCACUCAUGAACACCUGUUCCUUCUGACUGGGCAUCCAGGACAUCUCUUCUUGUCCAGUCCCCACCACAAAGUUUACACGAUCGCUUUUAUGUGUGGAUACCAGACCUAUCCACUGACAAAUACAGCUGAGCAUGGCAAGAGGAGCUCACCAGCCAUCCCAGGCACUGUGCAGGAGCCAAAUGUCCUGGGAAGAGAGGCUGUGGGCAGCCACCUUGUGCAACUGUUCCUGUAAGAAGGUGUGAGCAGAGCUGGUGUGCACAGUGUACGUGAGCCUCUGCCUUGUUCCAUCUGUGUGGAGAGAAGCUGUCACAGAAAUGAUGGGAGGCUAGCAAAGAGACCUGACUGCCAAAGGAAGACACUGUUAGUAGCCUGGAGUGUGCAGCCGAUGUUGAACAGUGGUAUAAAUUUAAUUGGUAACUCAUUUCUUAUUAAAACUGACAGAUUUUUUUCUUCCUAGCAGAACAGACAAGAGUGGAAAGGUUUCACAUAAUCACUGAUUUCACUGAAACUUGACAGCAUUAUCAAGCACUUUAAAUCUUUUUUAAUUUUAUAUGAAUCCCAUAAAAUAUCAAAACACCAGCAUGUAAACAAAGGACUUCAAUAAGCUUGGUUUGGUAUUUCUAUUACAUUCCAAUUUGGAAUGAAAGGAGAUGUGAAAUAAUCAGCUUCCCCAAGAAAAUGUUAUGUCUG